rnacentral:rRNA from 1 species
GAUUAACGCUGGCGGCGUGCCUAACACCUGCAAGUCGAGCGGCAGCGAGUUUUACACUGAAUUCUGGAAGCUUCUAGUUGAAAGAGAAGAUUUAUUCAAGAAUUUUGUGUAAAAUGUCGGCGAGCGGCGGACGGCUGAGUAACGCGUGGGAACGUACCCCAAGGUGAGGGAUAACGCAUCGAAAGGUGUGCUAAUACCGCAUAUGGUCUUCGGAUUAAAGCCUUCGGGCGCUUUGGGAACGGCCUGCGUAAGAUUAGAUAGUUGGUGGGGUAAUGGCCUACCAAGUCGACGAUCUGUAACUGGUUUGAGAGGAUGAUCAGUCAGACUGGAACUGAGACACGGUCCAGACUCCUACGGGAGGCAGCAGUGAGGAAUCUUCCACAAUGGGCGAAAGCCUGAUGGAGCAACGCCGCGUGCAGGAUGAAGGCCUUCGGGUUGUAAACUGCUUUUAUAAGUGAGGAUUAUGACAGUAACUUAUGAAUAAGGAUCGGCUAACUACGUG